GGACUACCCGGGUUUCUAAUCCCAUUCGCGACCCACGCUUUCGUGCCUCAGUGUCAGGAGCGGUCCAGUCUGCUGCCUUCGCUUUUGGUGUUCCCCAUGAUAUCAACGCAUUUCACCGCUACACCAUGAGUUCCGCAGACCCCUACCGUCCUCUAAGUCGCGCCGUUUCCCGCGCAGCUCCCCGGUUGAGCCGGGAAAUUUAACGAGGGACUAACGCGACCACCUACGCACCCUUUACGCCCAAUAAUUCCGGAUAACGCUCGAGGCACUCGUAUUACCGCGGCUGCUGGCAC
rnacentral:rRNA from 1 species